GGGGGCGUUUGGUUUCGACGGGGGCAGCGGAGAUAAAAGCUGCAGGUCGAGCUUUCCGACUCGUUAAACCGGAAGCACGUAUAAGUGCCAACGAAGAAUUAGCACUUGCUGCUUAAUUAACGCAGCACGCCCUUUUUGAAAGCGCCCGGCUUUCAAAAAAGGGUGUCAAAAUACCGGGCUUUUCUCUAAGGGUUAGCUUUGGCCCUUCAGAGAGAACUCAAACAAAGCUGGUCGGUUUUUAAUCCUGCCCCUGGGAGUGAAACCGGCGAGAUCCAAAACAGGGGAUAAACCUGUAGAGGCUUUUAUCGAUGUGCCUUCGGACAGGGGUUCGAUUCCCCUCGCCUCCACCA
rnacentral:tmRNA from 2 species